AGCGGUCCCUUCGGGGGCAGCGGCGGACGGGUGAGUAACGCGUGGGAACGUGCCCAGAGGUGGGGAACAACCGCUGGAAACGGCGGCUAAUACCCCAUACGCCCUACGGGGGAAAGAUUUAUCGCCUUUGGAUCGGCCCGCGUCUGAUUAGGUAGUUGGUGGGGUAACGGCCUACCAAGCCGACGAUCAGUACCUGGUUUGAGAGGAUGAUCAGGCACACUGGGACUGAGACACGGCCCAGACUCCUACGGGAGGCAGCAGUGGGGAAUCAUAGACAAUGGGGGAAACCCUGAUCUUGCCAUGCCGCGUGAGCGAAGAAGGCCUUAGGGUUGUAAAGCUCUUUCACCGGGGAAGAUAAUGACGGUACCCGGAGAAGAAGCCCCGGCUUAACUCCGUGCCAGCAGCCGCGGUAAUACGGAGGGGGCUAGCGUUGUUCGGAAUUACUGGGCGUAAAG
rnacentral:rRNA from 1 species